rnacentral:rRNA from 1 species
UCCCGAGCGUUNUCCGGAUUUAUUGGGCGUAAAGCGAGCNCAGGCGGUUAGAUAAGUCUGAAGUUAAAGGCUGUGGCUUAACCAUAGUACGCUUUGGAAACUGUUUAACUUGAGUGCAGAAGGGGAGAGUGGAAUUCCAUGUGUAGCGGUGAAAUGCGUAGAUAUAUGGAGGAACACCGGUGGCGAAAGCGGCUCUCUGGUCUGUAACUGACGCUGAGGCUCGAAAGCGUGGGGAGCGAACAGGAUUAGAUACCCUGGUAGUCCACGCCGUAAACGAUGAGUGCUAGGUGUUAGGCCCUUUCCGGGGCUUAGUGCCGCAGCUAACGCAUUAAGCGCUCCGCCUGGGGAGUACGACCGCAAGGUUGAAACUCAAAGGAAUUGACGGGGGCCCGCACAAGCGGUGGAGCAUGUGGUUUAAUUCGAAGCAACGCGAAGAACCUUACCAGGUCUUGACAUCCCGAUGCCCGCUCUAGAGAUAGAGUUUUACUUCGGUACAUCGGUGACAGGUGGUGCAUGGUUGUCGUCAGCUCGUGUCGUGAGAUGUUGGGUUAAGUCCCGCAACGAGCGCAACCCUUAUUGUUAGUUGCCAUCAUUCAGUUGGGCGCUCUAGCGAGACUGCCGGUAAUAAACCGGAGGAAGGUGGGGAUGACGUCAAAUCAUCAUGCCCCUUAUGACCUGGGCUACACACGUGCUACAAUGGCUGGUACAACGAGUCGCAAGUCGGUGACGGCAAGCUAAUCUCUUAAAGCCAGUCUCAGUUCGGAUUGUAGGCUGCAACUCGCCUACAUGAAGUCGGAAUCGCUAGUAAUCGCGGAUCAGCACGCCGCGGUGAAUACGUUCCCGGGCCUUGUACACACCGCCCGUCACACCACGAGAGUUUGUAACACCCGAAGUCGGUGAGGUAACCUUUUAGGAGCCAGC